UGGGGAAUAUUGCACAAUGGGCGCAAGCCUGAUGCAGCCAUGCCGCGUGUAUGAAGAAGGCCUUCGGGUUGUAAAGUACUUUCAGUCGGGAGGAAGGCGUUAAGGUUAAUAACCUUGGCGAUUGACGUUACCCGCAGAAGAAGCACCGGCUAACUCCGUGCCAGCAGCCGCGGUAAUACGGAGGGUGCAAGCGUUAAUCGGAAUUACUGGGCGUAAAGCGCACGCAGGCGGUCUGUCAAGUCGGAUGUGAAAUCCCCGGGCUCAACCUGGGAACUGCAUUCGAAACUGGCAGGCUAGAGUCUUGUAGAGGGGGGUAGAAUUCCAGGUGUAGCGAUGAAAUGCGUAGAGAUCUGGAGGAAUACCGGUGGCGAAGGCGGCCCCCUGGACAAAGACUGACGCUCAGGUGCGAAAGCGUGGGGAGCAAACAGG
rnacentral:rRNA from 1 species